rnacentral:rRNA from 1 species
AGUGAACGCUGGCGGUAGGCCUAACACAUGCAAGUCGAACGGCAGCACAGGAGAGCUUGCUCUCUGGGUGGCGAGUGGCGGACGGGUGAGGAAUACAUCGGAAUCUACUCUGUCGUGGGGGAUAACGUAGGGAAACUUACGCUAAUACCGCAUACGACCUACGGGUGAAAGCAGGGGACCUUCGGGCCUUGCGCGAUUGAAUGAGCCGAUGUCGGAUUAGCUAGUUGGCGGGGUAAAGGCCCACCAAGGCGACGAUCCGUAGCUGGUCUGAGAGGAUGACCAGCCACACGGGAACUGAGACACGGUCCAGACUCCUACGGGAGGCAGCAGUGGGGAAUAUUGGACAAUGGGCGCAAGCCUGAUCCAGCCAUACCGCGUGGGUGAAGAAGGCCUUCGGGUUGUAAAGCCCUUUUGUUGGGAAAGAAAUCCAGCUGGCUAAUACCCGGUUGGGAUGACGGUACCCAAAGAAUAAGCACCGGCUAACUUCGUGCCAGCCGCCGCAGUAA